UUUAAAGUAUAAGUAUGUCCUAUGCAAUAUUUGGGAUAUACUUAAUACUAAAC
rnacentral:pre_miRNA from 1 species